UGCCAGUCGCCGCGGUAAUACGUAGGGGGCUAGCGUUGUCCGGAUUUACUGGGUGUAAAGGGCGCGUAGGCGGAUCUGUAAGUCAGAGGUGAAAUCCUGCGGCUCAACCGUAGAACUGCCUUUGAAACUGCAGAUCUUGAGUUCGGAAGGGAGAGGCGGAAUUCCAGGUGUAGUGGUGAAAUACGUAGAUAUCUGGAAGAACACCAGAGGCGAAGGCGGUCUCUUGGUCCGUAACUGACGCUGAGGCGCGAAAGCGUGGGGAGCAAACAGGAUUAGAUA
rnacentral:rRNA from 1 species